AUGUUCACAAUAAGGGGGAGAAAAACGAAAAACAAAAAGAGGGAGGGAGGUUUGACAGAUCUGAAGACGGAGGUAGACAGAAGGAAAGAGAUCUCCGUUGACAGUCUCGCCACUGUCGCUUUUCUUCAUCCUCCCCGUGUUGCUGUUCGACCCACAUAUUCCAUCAUCGCCCCGAUCUGGGGUUUCGAUAUCCGAAACCCUCGAAACACCACCCACCGCGCCACCGCGUCUCCACCAUCACCGUAA